CUACCUAGUAGUAUGGGAUAGCCACUAGAAAUGGUGGGUAAUACUGUAUAAUCCCUGCGGGGGAAAGAUUUAUCGCUAUUAGAUGAGCCUAUGUUAGAUUAGCUAGUUGGUAGGGUAAAGGCCUACCAAGGCAGUGAUCUAUAGCUGGUCUGAGAGGAUGAUCAGCCACACUGGAACUGAGAUACGGUCCAGACUCCUACGGGAGGCAGCAGUGGGGAAUAUUGGACAAUGGGCGCAAGCCUGAUCCAGCUAUGCCGCGUGAGUGAGGAAGGCCUUAGGGUUGUAAAACUCUUUCAGUGGGGAAGAUAAUGACGGUACCCACAGAAGAAGUCCCGGCAAACUCCGUGCCAGCAGCCGCGGUAAUACGGAGGGGGCAAGCGUUGUUCGGAAUUAUUGGGCGUAAAGGGCAUGUAGGCGGUUCGGUAAGUUAAAGGUGAAAUGCCAGGGCUUAACCCUGGAGCUGCUUUUUA
rnacentral:rRNA from 1 species